GGGCCCGCACAAGCGGCGGAGCAUGCGGAUUAAUUCGAUGCAACGCGAAGAACCUUACCAAGGCUUGACAUGUCAGUGCUGCUCGCAGAGAUGCGGGUUCCUCCUUGUGGGGCGCUGUCACAGGUGGUGCAUGGUUGUCGUCAGCUCGUGUCGUGAGAUGUUGGGUUAAGUCCCGCAACGAGCGCAACCCUUGUCCCGUGUUGCCAGCACGUUGUGGUGGGGACUCGCGGGAGACUGCCGGGGUCAACUCGGAGGAAGGUGGGGAUGACGUCAAAUCAUCAUGCCCCUUAUGUCUUGGGCUUCACGCAUGCUACAAUGGCCGGUACAGAGGGUUGCGAUGUCGUGAGGCGGAGCGAAUCCCUUAAAGCCGGUCUCAGUUCGGAUCGGUGUCUGCAACUCGACACCGUGAAGUUGGAGUCGCUAGUAAUCGCAGAUCAGCAACGCUGCGGUGAAUACGUUCUCGGGCCUU
rnacentral:rRNA from 1 species